UAUUGCUAGGAGGGUGUGUUCUGCACAAUGUGCUUGUCAGCUUAUGGAAUGAAGAUGCUUUUAGGAUGAGAUCUUUUUCCAUUUUCCCCUUUUUGCUUGUUUGUGAAUUAUAACAAAAAUUAAAGUCCCCUGUGUCUCUUGUCACUGAGUAGUCCUUACAGCCUGUGAUCUGGUGAAAGCCAGUGUGGCACUGUGAGCAGAGAGCUGCUGCUUAUUCUUCCUAUCAGUGUUUGACAAGCAGGCAAAACCACUGAGAAUGCUGUGUGUGGAUUUGGAGACUCCUGUGUUGGCAUGUACCUGUGUGAUUGUGUAUUAAAUACAUUAGGUCAUGGUUUUGUCUUUAUCGUGUGAGAUCUUGCUUGAUGAAAAGCUGUCAGAAGGGUAAUGGUCUUGAUUUUUUCCCCAACAGAAAUGUUUGGGAGUUCACCUGACACUGUCUGAGAACUCAGGGGAAAUUCCAAGUAGAAGUGUUGUCCUAUUGGAACAACUUGAACAAAGAUACUUUACUGUCACAGGCAUGCUUCUAAGAAGCGUAUUGACCAUGAGGAAGCCCAUGUGUUAGUAACCAGGUUUUGCUAAUCCUGCCGAAGAAAAUGAAGCCACGUUUCAGCUUUGCCAAUCCUUUUCCCACCCUGUUGGCUGAAUGAGAAAUGGUCGUGUGAUUAUGCUGACAGCCCAGCAUGCAUUUGGUAGACCUGUGGUUAACUCGUUCCCUCUCCAUGUGUCUGCUCUUACAAAGUUUUGUCCUCAUGAUACUGUGCUUUCAUUCUGCCAGUAUGUGCCCAAAAGGCUGCCUUUGUUCCCACUCCGGAGGUCUGAACGUCAGCUGUAGCAAUGCAAACCUCAAGGAAAUACCCAGAGAUCUUCCUCCAGAAACAGUCUUACUUUAUUUGGACUCCAAUCAGAUAACAUCUAUCCCCAAUGAAAUUUUUAAGGACUUGCACCAAUUGAAAGUCCUCAAUUUAUCGAAAAACGGGAUUGAGUUUAUAGACGAACAUGCCUUUAAAGGGGUGGCAGAAACCUUGCAGACUCUGGAUUUGUCCGACAACCGGAUUAAAAGCGUGCACAAGAACGCUUUCAACAACCUGAAGGCCAGGGCCAGAAUUGCCAACAACCCCUGGCACUGUGACUGCACGCUGCAGCAGGUGCUGCGGAGCAUGGCCUCCAACCACGAGACGGCCAACAACGUCAUCUGCAAGACCUCCGUGCUGGACGAGCACGCGGGGAGACCCUUCCUCAACGCUGCCAACGACGCCGACCUCUGCAACCUCCCUAAAAAGACUACUGACUACGCCAUGCUGGUCACCAUGUUUGGCUGGUUCACCAUGGUGAUCUCCUACGUGGUUUAUUACGUGCGACAGAACCAGGAGGACGCAAGGAGGCACCUUGAGUACUUGAAAUCCCUGCCAAGCAGGCAAAAGAAACCAGAUGAAGCCGAUGACAUUAGCACUGUGGUAUAGUAUUCUGAAUACGAUGGCUGCCUUUGUGAACGAAACUAGAGUUGGAUGACACUAAAACCAGAGGUUUACUUCUAACCUUCAUUGUAAACAUUAAAACUUUUGGGGCUUUUUUUCCUGUUUAACUGAAUUAUGCCACUGUUGAGCUUUCUAACAGAAAGUUUUGUCCAGGUGGUAAACUUCAAUUAUUUCUCUGGUGAUAUCCUAAAGCAAGUGAAUUAAUAUGUAAACGUUAGUUUAGACCCAUUCCACUAUUUAAUAAUGAAAUUUAUUUUUUUAAUUUAAAAACCAAAUAAAAGCUUAAAUUUGAACCAUGUAAAGCAGAGUAAUUUCUUGAUCAGAAACCUGUCCAGUGCCAGAGCACUCUUGGCUUGUUCAGUGCUCGUGAGGUAGAAGAGAGGAGUGCUGAUCAAGUGGGCUGUGAGAGGUCCAGGACUGGAGAGUCCCCAGAGGGCACUUGUCACCCAUGGGUGCAAGGUGCUGCAUUGAGCUCAACGCAGAACCAGCUUUUCCACACAAACUGAGAAGAUGCCUGAGCUGCGUGGGCUGCCUGAAUUCAGGGAGAGUGAGCAGAUGGCAGCCCUCACUGCAGCCUGAUGAUGCUGUUCCUGAUGAACUUGGUUUGAAACUCUGGUUCUCAUCUCUUGUGGAAAACCACAACGGUUCAUGGCACAUGGACCUCAGCUGUUCCAGCUUCCUCUUC